UUACUAUUAAUGUAAACUGCCUGGGAC
rnacentral:piRNA from 1 species